rnacentral:rRNA from 1 species
UACCAUGCAAGUCGAACGGAGUGCUUCGGCACUUAGUGGCGGACGGGUGAGUAACGUCGUGAGAAUCUGCCUUCAGGACGGGGACAACGACUGGAAACGGUCGCUAACACCCGAUGAGCCGAGAGGUAAAAACUUUAGUGCCUGAAGAAGAGCUCGCGUCGGAUUAGCUAGUUGGUGAGGUAAGAGCUUACCAAGGCGACGAUCCGUAGCUGGUCUGAGAGGAUGAUCAGCCACACUGGGACUGAGACACGGCCCAGACUCCUACGGGAGGCAGCAGUGGGGAAUUUUCCGCAAUGGGCGCAAGCCUGACGGAGCAACGCCGCGUGCGGGAGGAAGGCCCUUGGGUUGUAAACCGCUUUUGUCAGGGAAGAAGCUCUGACGGUACCUGACGAAUCAGCAUCGGCUAACUCCGUGCCAGCAGCCGCGGUAAUACGGAGGAUGCAAGCGUUAUCCGGAAUCAUUGGGCGUAAAGCGUCCGCAGGUGGUUAAACAAGUCUGCAGUCAAAGCGUGGGGCUUAACUCCAUAUCGGCUGUGGAAACUGUUUGACUAGAGUACGGUAGGGGUCGCGGGAAUUCCCAGUGUAGCGGUGAAAUGCGUAGAUAUUGGGAGGAACACCAGCAGCGAAGGCGCGCGACUGGGCCGUAACUGACACUGAGGGACGAAAGCCAGGGGAGCGAAAGGGAUUAGAUACCCCUGUAGUCCUGGCUGUAAACGAUGGAUACUAGGUGUUGCACGUAUCGACCCGUGCAGUGCCGUAGCUAACGCGUUAAGUAUCCCGCCUGGGGAGUACGCACGCAAGUGUGAAACUCAAAGGAAUUGACGGGGGCCCGCACAAGCGGUGGAGUAUGUGGUUUAAUUCGAUGCAACGCGAA